GAAUCUCUACCAGCCGCUCCAUGCCUCUGUCCAUAUCAAA
rnacentral:sRNA from 1 species